UCCUCAUCCACCAGGACCCCCAAGUCCUUCUGAGCAGGGCUGCUCCCGAGUUCUUUACCCAGUCUAUAUAAAUACCUGGGAUUGCCCCAGCGCAAGUGCAACACCUUGCUCUUGGCCUUGUUGAACCUCGUUAGGUUCUCAUGGGCCCACUUCUCCAGCCUGUCCAGGUCCCUUUGGGUGGCAUCCCCUCCCUCUCGUAUCAACUGCACCACUCAGCUUGGUGUCAUCUGCAAACUUGCUGAGGGUGCACUUCACUCUGUCGUCUACGUCAUUGAUAAAGAUGUUGAAGAGCACUGGUCCCAAGACCAACCCCUGAGAGACACCACUUGUGACCAGCCUCCACCCAGACAUAGAACCAUUGACCACAAUAUUCACUGCUUUCAGCUGUAAUUGUAGCUCCUUCUUUAGACAAAGAGUUCCAUCCUCAGCUUGUCUAUUCCUCAAGGUUAUCUUCUGCAUAAAGACCAGAGUAUGCACCAGAGUAUGCAACACUACAGUCCAGGAGUCGCGUAUUAUGCCAGAGAGACUCUUCCCCUGCCACCAACGUGUCUGCAGCAGACUUCAGAGACCCACAUAUUUCUCACAUCAACUAGAAUGACCAGAACAAUGGCCAUUGCUGUAGGUAACAAUAUUCUUUACUGUUUAUUUGAUGAUCUUUAAAUUCACUUUGAGCAGAACCAAAAACUGGUAUCCUUGUUACUACUAUUGCUAUGGAUUAUCUAUUUCAUGGAAGUCAGGAAAGUAUUUUCCUCGAAACACUGAAAACACAAUAAACUGAAGUAUAGGAAAUACUAGAGGAAGAUUAGCUAUUCCAGCAAAUGAAAUAAGCAUAAGAGGUAACAAUAAGAAAUAGGACUUUUUUUCAUGACUAAGCUGAAGAAAAAGCUCAUUAGCUGGUAAGCCUAAUCCCUAGGUAAAUUCUCAGAAUAUUAAGGAAAUAAUUCAGAAUGAUACAAAAUUAUUUUUCCCAGUAGACAAAUAACAACAGUGUCAGUGAAUUAGAUAAUAUUUCCAUUUUAAAAUAACUAUGAGAAGGCUGCUAUUCAAACUUAACAAAUGGGAAGUUUAGUAUGCAAUUGCACAAUAAAAUAAAAAUAUAAUUUUCUGCUUCCUAACAUAGGAACUGAGAACAGUUGAAUAUGGUAACAUUUUAAAUGCAGUUAACAGGGGACAUACACGCACAUUACCUCAGCACUCCCAGAUUUGUUGCCUUAGCAAUGUAGAAGAAGGCAUCUUAAGAUCAGUUCCAGACUCAGGGGAAGAACACACUGAGACUUCCCUGCCACAACUCACGCUAGCUCCAGUGCCAUUUAUUAUCAUUCCUCUUUUUCUUGAUCUUUCCACACUAACCAAAUUAAUUUCUUCAGCUAUUUGACUUCAACCAUCUUCAUCUUCCUAAUGCUCCUAUCUUCCCUUCUUGUAGCCUUAUUAAUGCCUAUCUUCUGUCCUGUUCUUGCCCUGUCUAUGUCUCCAGGCCUCUGCUCUCUGAGCUGCUGAGCUCCCCUCCACGCAAGCAGCAUCUGAUUUCUAGGACCUGUACAGUUCCUACACCACUGUUUAGGAGCGUGUAGAGUCACGUCGUACAGGUGUUCUCCUAUUAACAUGCUGAUUCCACCUCACAGAGCUCUGAGAGGACUCAAGCCCCUACUCAGGUCAAACUUCUGGAAAAUUUGUCAUCACUGUUCACAAGUCUGCUUAAAGUUUAAAAUGAAAGCUGCCGACAAUUACAAUUGUCUAUGAUAGGAAGCAUUAAAAGAAUAUUAUUAAAGAAGAAACAUGUAAAUGCAAGGUACUUUUAGCUCUGAUGUUCUUGCUAGGUUUUUGGUGCAGCUGAUAUGUAUCCCUAUUGACAGUUUACAAGUUUACACUGCCCCAGUGCUCGUAAGGAAGACGGGCAGGGGGUGCUCCGGGUGUCGGGGCAGCAGGUCCAUGGUGGAGCAGGCUGAGCCCUGCAGCCCCCGGGCACCACGCAGAGCAGAUCCCCAUGCCACAGCCUGUGGAGGAGCCCACGCAGGAGCAGGAGGCCCGAGGGGA